GCACAAGCGGUGGAGCAUGUGGUUUAAUUCGAAGCGACGCGCAGAACCUUACCAGCCCUUGACAUCCCGGUCGCGGCCUAGAGAGAUCUAGGCCUUCAGUUCGGCUGGACCGGUGACAGGUGCUGCAUGGCUGUCGUCGGCUCGUGUCGUGAGAUGUUGGGUUAAGUCCCGCAACGAGCGCAACCCUCGCCCUUAGUUGCCCUUAUUCAGUUAGGCACUCUAAGGGGACUGCCGGUGAUAAGCCGAGAGGAAGGUGGGGAUGACGUCAAGUCCUCAUGGCCCUUACGGGCUGGGCUACACACGUGCUACAAUGGUGGUGACAGUGGGCAGCGAGACCGCGAGGUCGAGCUAAUCUCCAAAAACCAUCUCAGUUCGGAUUGCACUCUGCAACUCGAGUGCAUGAAGUUGGAAUCGCUAGUAAUCGCGGAUCAGCAUGCCGCGGUGAAUACGUUCCCGGGC
rnacentral:rRNA from 1 species